AGUGAACGCUGGCGGUAGGCCUAACACAUGCAAGUCGAACGGCAGCACAGUAAGAGCUUGCUCUUACGGGUGGCGAGUGGCGGACGGGUGAGGAAUACAUCGGAAUCUACUUUUUCGUGGGGGAUAACGUAGGGAAACUUACGCUAAUACCUCAUACGACCUACGGGUGAAAGCAGGGGAGCUUCGGACCUUGCGCGACUGAAUGAGCCGAUGUCGGAUUAGCUAGUUGGCGGGGUAAAGGCCCACCAAGGCGACGAUCCGUAGCGGGUCUGAGAGGAUGAUCAGCCACACUGGAACUGAGACACGGUCCAGACUCCUACGGGAGGCAGCAGUGGGGAAUAUUGGACAAUGGGCGCAAGCCUGAUCCAGCCAUACCGCGUGGGUGAAGAAGGCCUUCGGGUUGUAAAGCCCUUUUGUUGGGAAAGAAAAGCAGCAGGUUAAUCCCCCGAUGUUCUGACGGUACCCAAAGAAUAAGCACCGGCUAACUUCGUG
rnacentral:rRNA from 1 species